UCAAGUGACUAAGUGCAUGCGGCGGAUGCCUUGGCGAUCACAGGCGAAGAAAGACGCGGCAGCCUGCGAAAAGCUGCGGGGAGCUGGCAAACGAGCUUUGAUCCGCAGAUAUCUGAAUGGGGGAACCCACACCGCAAGGUGUAUCCGUAACUGAAUACAUAGGUUACGGAGGCGAACGAGGAGAACUGAAACAUCUAAGUAUCCUCAGGAAAAGAAAUCAACCGAGAUUCCGGCAGUAGCGGCGAGCGAACCCGGAGGAGCCCAGCUUUUGAUAGUACGAACUUUAGCCGAAAGGUCCUGGAAAGGCCUGCUAUAGUGGGUGAUAGCCCCGUAGGCGAAAAAGUUUGUGCGGUACUAAGGAAGCGAGAAGUAGAGCGGGACACGUGGAAUCCUGUUCGAAGAUGGGGGGACCAUCCUCCAAGGCUAAAUACUCGUGAUCGACCGAUAGUGAACCAGUACCGUGAGGGAAAGGCGAAAAGAACCCCGGGAGGGGAGUGAAAUAGAACCUGAAACCGCAUGCAUACAAACAGUAGGAGCCUCAUCAGAGGUGACUGCGUACCUUUUGCAUAAUGGGUCAGCGACUUACAUUCUGUGGCGAGCUUAACCGAAUAGGGGAGGCGCAGCGAAAGCGAGUUCGAAAUGAGCGUUCAGUCGCAGGGUGUAGACCCGAAACCAGAUGAGCUAUCCAUGGCCAGGUUGAAGGUGUGGUAACACACACUGGAGGACCGAACCGACUAGUGUUGCAAAAUUAGCGGAUGAGCUGUGGAUAGGGGUGAAAGGCCAAACAAAUCUGGAGAUAGCUGGUUCUCCCCGAAAACUAUUGAGGUAGUGCCUCGUGUGUCGCUCCAGGGGGUAGAGCACUGUUUUGGCUAGGGGGACAUGGAGUCUUACCAAACCAAGGCAAACUCCGAAUACCUGGAAGCGUAAGCACGGGAGACAGAGCACCGGGUGCUAACGUCCGGACUCAAAAGGGAAACAACCCAGACCGCCGGCUAAGGUCCCAAAUAACAGCUAAGUGGAAAACGAAGUGGAAAGGCCGUGACAACCAGGAAGUUGGCUUAGAAGCAGCCAUCCUUCAAAGAAAGCGUAAUAGCUCACUGGUCGAGUCCUUCUGCGCGGAAGAUGUAACGGGGCUAAGCUGUUAACCGAAGCCGCGGAUGCACUGGUUAUCCAGUGCGUGGUAGGGGAGCGUUCUGUAAGUCUGCGAAGGCGGUUCGAGAGGACUGCUGGAGAUAUCAGAAGUGCGAAUGCUGACAUGAGUAACGUUAAAGCAGGUGAAAAGCCUGCUCGCCGUAAGCCCAAGGAUUCCUGCUCUACGUUCAUCGGAGCAGGGUGAGUCGGCUCCUAAGGUCAGGCCGAAAGGCGUAGCCGAUGGGAAUCAGGUUAAUAUUCCUGAACCUGCGUCAGAUGCGAUGGGGGGACGGAGCAUGGAAGAUCAUCCGGGUGUUGGAAGUCCCGGUUGUUUAGCGUAGGAGGUCUGCAGGCAAAUCCGCAGACGCAUCUCCAAGGCAAAGACACGUGCCGCCACGGCGGCGAAGUGAUCGGAAGUGCUUCCAAGAAAAGCCUCUAAGCACCAGUCUGGCGCGGACCGUACCGCAAACCGACACUGGUGGGCGAGCUGAAUAUGCUCAGGCGCUUGAGAGAACUCGGGAGAAGGAACUCGGCAAAUUGACACCGUAACUUCGGAAGAAGGUGUGCCGUAGUACCGUGAGAGGAGAGACACCUUGAGCGGGAAACGGUCUCAGAGAAUAGGUGGCUGCGACUGUUUAUUAAAAACACAGCACUCUGCAAAGUCGAAAGACGACGUAUAGGGUGUGAUGCCUGCCCGGUGCUGGAAGAUUAAUUGAUGGGGUGAGAGCCCUUGAUCGAAGUCCCAGUAAACGGCGGCCGUAACUAUAACGGUCCUAAGGUAGCGAAAUUCCUUGUC
rnacentral:rRNA from 1 species